GCAACUGCCUGCCAAGUUGGCUGUCAGUUAUAAAGUUCACUGGAGCGUGACACCAUAUUAAUAACCAUGUAGUUAUUAAAACUACUUAUUAUUUAUGUUGUUGAGUGUUGCCCAACAUGGUGGGCAACACUCACCAUGUUGGAUCUCCGUUUCUCUGUGGACUGUGAUGAUGUUCCUGCCUCUCCAAUGAUUAUUAAAUUUAUUGGUAUUUCUUCUGCACUUU